UUAACAGGUUUCGCUUGCUAAAGACAAUCAGAAAUAUGUCUGGAGUCACAACUCUGGAGGACCAUCUCUAUGCCUGAGGGAGAGUGUCCUGCAAAUAUCCAGUAACAAAACAUCAAGAUUGUCAAAUCAGAUAAAGCUGCAGGGCCGGAUCAUCCAAUGGGCCUUAUGGACAGAGGCCGAGGGACCUUUGCAGCUUUGGGCCCAGGCAAGGUAGCGGCAAGAAGAAGCAGCACCGUACGACAGGUGACUUCUCUGAAGACUUCUGUGUACAAAACAUUUCCAACAACCUUUCACUGUCAUCGACUGUUUGGAUAUACACAUAUAAGAAAGUUAUUCUGUAAAUAUGCACAUGGUUACCAGACAGAGGCUGUAUGAAAGAAUAUGUUUGUGUGUGCAAUAUGGAAGAAUCUAAUAGAACUGAAUUGGUAGAGGUGUGGUAGUGUGUGGUAGUGAGUUACAGCAUGCAGGGAAAUGUCUAAAUAUUUUUGUUGCAGGUCCGGAAAAGCAUUGUUGCAAUCAUAUAGUGUAAAUCCUGUAUGAUGGAGGAUGUGUACAGCUGUAGAUAUUGUCCUUCAGGUUGUGAUCAUAGUUUGUAAUCCUGAAUAAUAUACACAUAGUACCUUAUAGGCAAUUUUAAAACUUUAUUUUGCACACGUGUGUUGUCCAUAAGACCCUUGUGCCCAGGGACCUCUGAAUUCUUAAUCCGGGCCUGCUCAGCUGCCAUUGUUGCAAGUCUUGCUUCAUCACAACAGGGUGGUCAACCGCACCUCCGUUUCCGUUUAAAAAACGUUUUGUCGGGGCUGGCUGAAUGCAGCCCUGAAUUCAAUGUGUUAACACAUGUGAUUAGCAUCUGAUGUGUCCACCUGUCAAAUUGAAUGUGUUUGGAGUUGGAAAAGGCAGUGAAAUAUUUCUGCAGCUCACUGAUUCUAUACUGGAAAAG